AGUAGGGAAUCUUGCGCAAUGGGCGAAAGCCUGACGCAGCAACGCCGCGUGGGGGAUGAAGGCUUUCGGGUUGUAAACCCCUUUCAGUAGGGACGAAUCAAGACGGUACCUACAGAAGAAGCCCCGGCCAACUACGUGCCAGCAGCCGCGGUAACACGUAGGGGGCGAGCGUUGUCCGGAUUUAUUGGGCGUAAAGAGCUCGUAGGUGGUUCGGUAAGUCGGGUGUGAAAACUCCAGGCUCAACCUGGAGACGCCACUCGAUACUGCUGUGACUCGAGUCCGGUAGGGGAGCGUGGAAUUCCUGGUGUAGCGGUGAAAUGCGCAGAUAUCAGGAGGAACACCAGCGGCGAAGGCGGCGCUCUGGGCCGGAACUGACGCUGAGGAGCGAAAGCGUGGGUAGCGAA
rnacentral:rRNA from 1 species